ACAAUGGUAGUGCACGCGCGGUAGUGCUCCGCGAUUGGCUGCGUGAAUGCGGUAUUCUGCUAGUGUACGACAGAUGCGUUAAGAUGAGCCUCUCAGUAUAAACGGGAUGAGAUGGGAUGGGACGAGAUGGGAGUCAGAGGCUCGUUAGCGGCACGAGGGGAGUCAACACUGUUGCCAGAUUGUUAUCCCUACCUCGGACGAUGCAGUCUCGCCGUAGCAAGGCGAGUGCAACAACGCGCUCUCAACAACCGACAACUUUGAAACGCGUUAUGAGAGUAUCAUUCGGUUCUCGCAUCUGUACUGUUGCUGUUGUUGCUGCUGUUGUUGCUGUUGCUGCUGGGCCAAGACAACUUGAUCCUGCGGGUGUAUCGGAAUCG